rnacentral:rRNA from 1 species
UACAGAGGUCCCAAGCGUUGUUCGGAUUUAUUGGGCGUAAAGGGUGCGUAGGCGGCGGAGUAAGUUGGGUGUGAAAUCCCGGGGCUCAACCUCGGAAUUGCAUUCAAUACUGCUUCGCUAGAGUACUGGAGAGGAGGCUGGAAUUUACGGUGUAGCAGUGAAAUGCGUAGAUAUCGAGAGGAACACCUGCGGCGAAGGCGGGUUGCUGGGCCGUAACUGACACUGAGUAGACGAAAGCCGGUAGGGAGCAAAC